rnacentral:rRNA from 1 species
UACGUAUGGUGCAAGCGUUAUCCGGAAUGACUGGGUGUAAAGGGAGCGUAGACGGUUGUACAAGUCUGAUGUGAAAGCCCACGGCUCAACUGUGGGAGUGCAUUGGAAACUGUAGAACUAGAGUAUCGGAGAGGCAAGUGGAAUUCCUAGUGUAGCGGUGAAAUGCGUAGAUAUUAGGAGGAACACCAGUGGCGAAGGCGGCUUGCUGGACGAAAACCGACGUUGAGGCUCGAAAGCGUGGGGAGCAAACAGG